UGGCCUGGACUCCGGAAGUGAGCUGCGGAGAGAAAGAGGGAGAAAGGAAAACCCGCGGCCCCUCGGUUGCCCUCAGAGAAGGUCAUUUCCUGCACGGGAUCGAUGCUUUCCUGUUUCCUCGGCCAAGGCUGCGUGUGCCCUGGCUCUCCGGAAUCGUCCCAUGCAUAGAAGGCGACUGGAGCCACGCCAGAACGAGAAGCCUUUUAUAAAGCAGGCUGAACAGAUUGUAAACGUGUCAGACCUUUCCUGCGCCAGUUUUAGGAUCCUGGAACCAUGUUUUACACUCACCGCCGGAGUUCGUCCAGCUGUAAAUUGAGAUGGAGAUGAGCUGCCCGGGCCCACCUGCGAAGCCACCCAGCUGCCUGUGCAAAUGCUACCAUUUUCACCUACCACCUGAAGCUUCUCGAGUGCAAAGCAGGUUCCCCGUCAACCUGCCUCCGUAGAAAGAUUGGAAAGACAGAUGGGAUUAGGUGAAAUGAUGUCCUCCACAAAUAGUGAAUGGAAAAAGUCUUUAACCUACAAUCUGAGAUUUAAGGGUAGGAAGGACUUCAUAGUUGAGUGUUGACAGAUACCAUCUAUUCUAUAAAUUAUGGAAUCACUUGCUCCCCAGCACAAACAUACACUUUUUUCUGA